ensembl:snRNA U6 U6 spliceosomal RNA
GUGCUCGCUUCGGCAGCACAUAUACUAUAUUAGAACAAUACAGAGAAGAUUAGCAUGGCCCCUGUGCAAGGAUGACACACAAAUUCGUGAAGCAUUCCAUAUUUUU